rnacentral:miRNA from 1 species
CAUUUCAUGGAGGUCGACUUGU